rnacentral:rRNA from 1 species
AUUACUCCUACGGGAGGCAGCAGUAGGGAAUCUUCCACAAUGGGCGAAAGCCUGAUGGAGCAAUACCGCGUGAGUGAAGAAGGUCUUCGGAUCGUAAAGCUCUGUUGUUAGAGAAGAACAAGAGGUGUAGUAACUGGCACCUCCUUGACGGUAUCUAACCAGAAAGUCACGGCUAACUACGUGCCAGCAGCCGCGGUAAUAAU